AUUGAACGCUGGCGGCAGGCCUAACACAUGCAAGUCGAGCGAGCGGCGGACGGGUGAGUAAUGUAUGGGGACUGCCCGAUAGAGGGGGAUAACUACUGGAAACGGUAGCUAAUACCGCAUACUAUCGGAUAACCCAUAUGGGAUUAGCUAGUAGGUGAGGUAAUGGCGAACCUAGGCGACGAACCCAAGCUGGUAUGAGAGGACGAUCAGCCACAUGGGGACUGAGACACGGCCCAGACUCCUACGGAGGCAGCAGUGGGGAAGAGUGCACAAUGGGCGCAAGCCUGAUGCAGCCAUGCCGCGUGUAUGAAGAAGGCCCUAGGGUUGUAAAGUACUUUCAGGCGGGAGGCGUUACCGACAGAAGAAGCACCGGCUAACUCCGUGCCAGCAGCCGCGGUAAUAC
rnacentral:rRNA from 1 species